AAGCCUGAUGCAGCGACCCGCGUGAAGGAUGACCGCCUUCGGGUGUUAAACCUCCUUCAGUAGGAAAGAAGCGAGAGUGACGGUACCUGCAGAAGAAGCGCCGGCUAACUACGUGCCAGCAGCCGCGUUAAUACGUAGGGCGCAAGCGUCGUCCGGAAUUAUGGGCCGUAAGAAGCUCGUAGGCGGUUUGUCGCGUCUGCUGUGAAGCCCGGGGCUCAACCCCGGUUCUGCAGUGGGUACGGCCAGACUAGAGUGCAGUAGGGAGACUGGAAUUCCUGGUGUAGCGGUGAAAUGCGCAGAUAUCAGGAGGAACACCGAUGGCGAAGGCAGGUCUCUGGGCUGUUACUGACGCUGAGGAGCGAAAGCAUGGGGAGCGAACAGGAUUAGAUACCUGGUAGUCCAUGCCGUAAACGUUGGGCACUAGGUGUGGGGGACAUUCCACGUUUUCCGCGCCGUAGCUAACGCAUUAAGUGCCCCGCCUGGGGAGUACGGCCGCAAGGCUAAAACUCAAAGGAAUUGACGGGGGCCCGCACAAGCGGCGGAGCAUGCGGAUUAAUUCGAUGCAACGCGAAGAACCUUACCAAGGCUUGACAUUCACCGGACCGCCCCAGAGAUGGGGUUUCCCUUCGGGGCUGGUGGACAGGUGGUGCAUGGUUGUCGUCAGCUCGUGUCGUGAGAUGUUGGGUUAAGUCCCGCAACGAGCGCAACCCUCGUUCUAUGUUGCCAGCACGUGAUGGUGGGGACUCAUAGGAGACUGCCGGGGUCAACUCGGAGGAAGGUGGGGAUGACGUCAAAUCAUCAUGCCCCUUAUGUCUUGGGCUUCACGCAUGCUACAAUGGCCGGUACAAAGGGUUGCUAUACUGUGAGGUGGAGCUAAUCCCAAAAAGCCGGUCUCAGUUCGGAUUGAGGUCUGCAACUCGACCUCAUGAAGUCGGAGUCGCUAGUAAUCGCAGAUCAGCAACGCUGCGGUGAAUACGUUCCCGGGCCUUGUACACACCGCCCGUCAAGUCACGAAAGUUGGUAACACCCGAAGCCGGUGGCUCUAGAUCCGCAUCUCGUGGGUACGAUGAGAAC
rnacentral:rRNA from 1 species